rnacentral:rRNA from 1 species
UACGUAGGUGGCAAGCGUUGUCCGGAUUUACUGGGCGUAAAGAGCGCGCAGGCGGUCGGAUUAGUCGCGUGUGAAAGCCCCCGGCUCAACUGGGGAGGGUCACGCGAUACUGUUCGACUCGAAGGCAGGAGAGGGAAGUGGAAUUCCCGGUGUAGUGGUGAAAUGCGCAGAUAUCGGGAGGAACACCAAUGGCGAAGGCAGCUCGCUGGGACGGUACUGACGCUGAGACGCGAAAGCGUGGGGAGCAAACAGG